rnacentral:rRNA from 1 species
AAUAUUGGACAGUGGGGGCAACCCUGAUCUAGCCAUGCCGCGUGUGUGAAGAAGGUCUUCGGAUUGUAAAGCACUCUAAGUUGGGAGGAAGUGCUUUAGGUUAAUACACUGACGUUUUGCCGUUACCAACAGAAUAAGCACCGGCUCACUCUGUGCCAGCAGCCGCUGUAAUACAGAGGGUGCAAGCGUUAAUCGGAAUUACCGGGCGUAAAGCGCCGGUAGGUGGUUCGUUGAGUUGGAAGUGAAAGCCCCGGGCUUAACCUGGGAAUUGCUUUCAAAACUGACGAGCUGGCGUACGGUAGAGGGUAGUGGAAUUUCCUGUGUAGCGGUGAAAGGCGUAGAUAUAGGAAGGAACAUCAGUGGCGAAGGCGACUACCUGGACUGAUACUGACACUGAGGUGCGAAAGCGUGGGGAGCAAACAGG